rnacentral:rRNA from 1 species
GAACGGGUGAGUAACACGUGGGCAACCUGCCCAAAAGAGGGGGAUAACACUUGGAAACAGGUGCUAAUACCGCAUAACCAUAGUUACCGCAUGGUAACUAUGUAAAAGGUGGCUAUGCUACCGCUUUUGGAUGGGCCCGCGGCGCAUUAGCUAGUUGGUGGGGUAAAGGCUUACCAAGGCAAUGAUGCGUAGCCGAACUGAGAGGUUGAUCGGCCACAUUGGGACUGAGACACGGCCCAAACUCCUACGGGAGGCAGCAGUAGGGAAUCUUCCACAAUGGGCGAAAGCCUGAUGGAGCAACGCCGCGUGGGUGAAGAAGGUCUUCGGAUCGUAAAACCCUGUUGUUAGAGAAGAAAGCGCGUGAGAGUAACUGUUCACGUUUCGACGGUAUCUAACCAGAAAGCCACGGCUAACUACGUGCCAGCAGCCGCGGUAAUACGUAGGUGGCAAGCGUUAUCCGGAUUUAUUGGGCGUAAAGGGAACGCAGGCGGUCUUUUAAGUCUGAUGUGAAAGCCUUCGGCUUAACCGGAGUAGUGCAUUGGA